rnacentral:lncRNA from 1 species
CCCCCAGCCAGAACAUCAUCUUCUUCAAGGAGAAUCAAAAGUCGACUGCCCCGUUUCAGCCUCUAGAUCUUCUCAAAAAAUCACCAGAGACUCAGUCCCACUCACAUGCUACAAGAAGAAAAUAGGAAACGAGCUGAAAACAACAAAAUAAAGGGCGAUGGAGAAUGAACAAAAUUGAGGGGAAGAGUUGGUUUCAAUUCUGACUUGACCUUUCCAAUUUAGUAUCCUAGUUUAGGUAUAAAAACCAGUUAUAUUAGAUUUCUCAAUCAAAAGUAAAAAAAAUAUUGGUAUUUUCUGUUGAUUUCAAUUUCAAAGAUGGAGUUGGCUCGAAUUAUUUGAUCUGGAUUUCCAUUUGAAGUUCGAGUCUGCAAAUGAGAAUGUUAUUCUUCAUUUGGUUUUGAUUUUUUAUUUUUUAGUAUGGGAAUGGAGUUAAGUCAAGGUUUAUUCGAGUUUUGUCGCUGAUUGGAGGUUCUGUUCGAGCUACAUGUUCUGGUAAGUGCUUGGCUAUUGUUUUGAUGCCUGUAAUGGUGCUCUCUAGUCCAGGUUAAAACCUUAUAUUAGAAUUGUUCUUCUUCUUCGAAGGAAAACUAAUCAAUUUUAGGUUUAAUUCAUUCUCCAUUACUUUAUUCUUUUUAAUUGGAUCUGUAUGUUUAUGAUUUAUAUGGCUAUUGUGAUGUAUCAUGUUUUCUCCUUGGAGUGAUAUGAAGUUGUCCAUAUUAGGACAUAUUAGUGAACUUUGGACAGUCAAAUUGCUCGUUUAAUUGAUACUCUGAAUAUGCCAUAAUUUAUAAAUUGUUAAAAAGUAUUGGUGAGAACAAAUAGUUAUCAAGAACUCACAAUAGACUGAC